GAAGGAUGGUUCCGCCUCCCAUUAGCUUGUUGGUGGGGUAAUGGCCUACCAAGGCGACGAUGGGUAGCCGGCCUGAGAGGGUGUCCGGCCACACUGGGUCUGAGAUACGGCCCAGACUCCUACGGGAGGCGGCAGUCGAGAAGCUUCGGCAAUGGGCGAAAGCCUGACCGAGCGAUGCCGCGUGAGCGAAGAAGGUCCUUUGGAUUGUAAAGCUCUGUCAGAUUGGGAAGAAAACCUCGAGAUUAAUACCCUCGAGGCUUGACGGUACCAUCAGAGGAAGCACCGGCUAACUCCGUGCCAGCAGCCGCGGUAAUACGGAGGGUGCAAGCGUUGUUCGGAUUCACUGGGUAUAAAGGGUGCGCAGGCGGUUUGAUAAGUCAGAGGUGAAAUAUGUCGGCUCAACCGGCAAACGGCCCCUGAAACUGUCAAACUUGAGUCCGAGAGAGGUAGGUGGAAUUCCAGGUGUAGCGGUGAAAUGCGUAAAUAUCUGGAGGAACACCAGUGGCGAAGGCGGCCUACUGGCUCGGAACUGACGCUCAGGCACGAAAGCUAGGGGAGCGAACGGGAUUAGAUACCCCGGUAGUCCUAGCCGUAAACGAUGGCUACUAGGUGUUGGAGGAUUCUACCCCUUCAGUGCCGCAGCUAACGCAUUAAGUAGCCCACCUGGGGAGUACGAUCGCAAGGUUGAAACUCAAAGGAAUUGACGGGGGCCCGCACAAGCGGUGGAGCAUGUGGUUUAAUUCGAUGCAACGCGAAGAACCUUACCUAGGCUUGACAUGCAGGGGACAGAUGUAGAAAUACAUCCUUCUUCGGACCCCUGUACAGGUGCUGCAUGGCUGUCGUCAGCUCGUGUCGUGAAAUGUUAGGUUAAGUCCUGCAACGAGCGCAACCCCUGUCUUCAGUUGCCAUCAGGUAAUGCUGGGAACUCUGGAGAGACCGCCGGUGACAAACCGGAGGAAGGUGGGGACGACGUCAAGUCAUCAUGGCCCUUACGCCUAGGGCUACACACGUGCUACAAUGGUCGGUACAAAGGGCUGCAAUACAGCGAUGUGGAGCGAAUCCCAAAAAACCGGCCUCAGUUCGGAUUGUAGUCUGCAACUCGACUACAUGAAGUUGGAAUCGCUAGUAAUCGCGUAUCAGAACGACGCGGUGAAUACGUUCCCGGGCCUUGUACACACCGCCCGUCAAGUCAACCGAGUU
rnacentral:rRNA from 1 species